rnacentral:lncRNA from 1 species
AGGUUGGAAGUUCUGGUAAUUUUCAGAAAAAAGAAGCAGUCACUCUUCCUACUUAGAAUACCAUUCGAAAACUAUAAAAGUGCAGGAAGAAAUACAAAAAUGACCUAAUUAGUUAUAAAAUCUCCCUCCACCUCACCCAAAAUCUCACUACUCACUCAUCCCUCAAUCUCACCUGAAUCACAAUAUCAAUCCGUAGUCUUACCACCCUCCAAUAAUCAACCUCUCUAACUCACCCAAAAUUUCACCCAAAUCCCACUCACACUCAUCACUCAACUCAUCUGUGAAAUACAGUCUCGAACCCUCACAUCCAUUACCAAAUUAUCUCACCCCAAAUUCCAUGUAUAAGCAUUCGCCAACAUCUAGACCCUAAUCAUCCCUCCAAGUCGAGGAACAUCCAUCAUAGAAGUAUACCUCGUAAGGGAAAAACCAAGACAUUAGCGGUCAUCCAAACAAUAAGACAUUUCGAAAGGGUGAAAGGUACAUAAACAUAUAAACACCUAAAGCACCUACUUUCAUAACAUGAUCAUAACAUAUCACCAUCAUUUAACUUGCUAUAACUGAAGUAAAAGAAAUUUUGGACUAGGUUAGAUUAGUGGUGAUUGCGGACACUACUAACCGUUAACCUUGACCAUUUUGAUAUUGGUAUUGACAUAUAUCCCUUGCUUCAUGAAUAACGAUAAAAUAUCAUUAGUAACUAGUUGAAUCGAUGGUUAAGAGAUUAAGAAAUCAGUAGGGAGGUCCUUUAAAAGACAGCUUUUGAUUUGAUAUAGCUAGUUACAACCAUUUAAAAUUGACAAAACAAGAUUAGAGGACCCUAGACCGAAUAAGCACAAAACAGAC